AAAAAUAGCAGAAUAAAUGUGUUGGACUUAAGAUUCAAAGGUGGAGUUUAACUUCUUUUU
rnacentral:tRNA from 1 species